GCAACAGAUGGCAAGCGACUAUUCCGAAUUCCUCAUGCCAAACGAGAAAUGGCGCGGAGGAAGGUCUGACUUAAAAGAAUCAGCCGGACUGAGUUGCACCCAACGCGAUGGUCCCGGAUUCCCGGCUCUGUGAGCUGACGUGACUGUGGACACAUUUUCGCGGAUGAGCCGGAGACCCGAGCAAGCUGUUUCAUCUGCGAAGGCUUCAUUUACAUGACGGAACGUGUGUAGCCUCAGUUCGGAAAUGCCUGGCAGUUGCUGCGCCCCAAACUGCAGAUCGAACUAUGGUGGUGGUCCGAACAGUGCGAGUGUCCGCGUCCAUAAGUUUCCUGCGGACGAGACACAAAGGGCAGCGUGGACAAAAGCCAUAUCUCGUGAAAAUUUCAUGCCGAUGAAGCACACAGUGGUGUGUGAAAAACACUUUGAGAAGAGUGACUUCGUCACGUUUGCAUCGUACGCGGACUUGAAGACUGGAAAAGUUAUUGAAGGGCCGCUGGGUGCGUGCUGGCCUCAAGCCAACUGCUGUGCCCAGUCUUUUUCCCGGCUGCCCAAAAUAUAUGUCUAAGCCAAAGCGAACGCGGGAAGCUCCUGCAGAAAAGAAAGCUCGAUUCGAAGCAGCAUCGGUGCGAAUAGCGAUAGAGCUUUCUGUUGCUGCGCAAGAAGAAGAUCGCAGGAACAAAAUUUGCAGUUUUGAAGAACUUUGUUGUGCCCUUCCAACGCUAAAGACUUCAAAGUUCUGGACUGUGAUCACUAGACAGUGAAGGGUUUCGUUUCUUGACCUCUCCCUCGACUGUGCUCCCGCAGUGCGCUCGUCAGUGGGGGUGUUAGAGGAUAUGUCUGUUCAGGUGUUCCUCGGAGGGUCCCGCCUUCACAAACUUGGAGAUGUCUGCAUGUUAUCAGAGUUAAAGGAUUUAAGGGAGCUUGACCGAGUGCUGCAAUCUGUGGAAAAGCUGCAAAGUUGUGCUGAUAACAGUGAAAAGGAAAAAGAACACCAGCUACUUUCAACUGUGCUGAUGCUUCUGGAUGAAGUGAAGAAGGAAUAUGAGCUCCAAAAACGUCAUGGAUGGAACUUAGAGGUACUGAAAUUUGUGAGAAGCCAAGUCGAGCUUGUGUUGAGAAAUACGCCGCGAUAUCCACCAGAUGUGCUAUUGUUUUCAGGUCUGCUGUAUACCAUUUGUCCACAUGCCUACAAGUUCAUCAGGAGUUCUCUUAAAGUUAAGCUGCCACACCCAGACACCAUUCGACGAUUAUGUUCGUCAUACCACUUGCAUCCAGCUCUUGAGCAGCAAGAUUUUUGUUUUUUGAACUAUGCUAAAACUGUCUUGCAAGCAAUGGCCGAGCAUGAGCGCACUGUAACAUUAAUGAUGGCUGAGAUCCAUCUUCAAACCUAUUUUGAAUAAAAAGCAGGCUUCGUUACAGGUGCCGCAGCCAAUAGUUCCAAUCCAGCUAAAACUGCGUAUGUGUUCAUGUUGCAGAGCCUUUUGUCGAGCAACAAGGAUGUGGUUCACAUUUUACCAGUCGCACAGAUCGAUGCAAAAGCAUUGCAUAAGUUUUUGCUAAAGCUCAUCACUGACCUUGAGUCACUUGGUUUCACGGUACUAGCAGUUGUUUCAGACAAUGCUAUAAACCGAAAAGCCAUGACAUUUUUUGCUAGCCCCCCUAAAGCCAGUAGUGUUUAUCCACAUCCAGCCGAUUCCUCUCGUCCACUGUUCUUUAUUUUGGACCCCGUACACCUUCUCAAGUCAAUCAGGAAUAACUGGUUAAGCCAGAGAAAUAGUGGAAAGUGCAUGUAUUACCCUGAUCCGAGUAACAAUGGCCCAAAGCCACCUAUCCUUACUGAUCAUUUAAAUCUGUCUGAUUUACAUGACGCUGAGCAGAAUAACCUUUUAAAGCUGGCACCAACGCUUUCACUAAAAGCACUAAACCCAUCAACUAUAGGGCGUCAGAACUUUAAGUAUAGAACGUGAGAACGUCAGACACCAUUUUGACAUGGCGACAAAUAGCAAAUGUAAAGACACCGAGAAAGCGUCAACGCUUACGUGAUGAAAUGCAGUAUCCGAUUGUGUCAACAACAUGUCCACAGCUGGAAUUUUUGAGAAAAACAAAAGAGUGGCUAGACUACUGGGCUAGCCUCAAGCACGAUGCCGGCCACCUGACGAAAGAAACGCAGUUGGCUUUUGGCCACACGAGCCACGCUCUGCAUGAGAUCUCUCUAUACUGCCUGGAAGAGCUAGUAUGUGCUCCUUGGCAAAUUUCAAACAGAUUGCCUUGAAGGUAGGUUUGGGAAGUACCGCCAGCUAUCUGGUGUCCAAUACCACAUCUCGAUCAGGCAGAUCUAUGAAUCUGAGAACAAGCUUAGGCUUCAAAAAGUACUGGACUUGCCUGACCUGGACGUUAUUGCACAGCCAAUCCCUGCCAUAGGUGUUGAUUCACUUCGUGGAGAGUUCACCAUAGCAGUGACCGAUGCUGAUGUCGCUAAAAAAUCGUAAAUGAUUCCCGCUGUUACAUAUGUUGCUGGGUAUUGUGCACAUGUGACAAUGAAAAAGCUCAUGCGCUUGUCCUGCAAAGAAAACUUUAUACUGGAGAAUACCAGUUUGGACCACGAAGACACACUGCUCAUUGCAGGUAUGACACGACGAGGACUGAAGUUUCCGUGUGCUGUUGUAGUGAAUGCUGUGCUUUGUACAGAAAUAGUUUUUGAUAAAUUGAGGAGUGAGGAGUUGGCGUCAAAAUUUCUUGCUCUUUCAAAUCAGAACGAGGCCCUUGUGGCUCUUGUGUCAACCGUUCUGCAUGAUUCUGGAGGCCUUGAUGACCUUGGUGCCUGUAAUUAUGGCCACUCGCCAGAAAACGUCAUGCACCAUAUUUGGAGUGCAACUGCCAACACCCUGUUGAAUAAUUUGUGCAAACCCAAAAAUGCCAAAACAGGAAGCGUAAAUUGCAAACUCUAAAGAGCUGAAAAUCGAUGUCCGUUUGGUUUACUGGCAACUGUUUUUCAGUAGUGAUAGUUUCUUGCACAUCUAAUUACAUGGUUAUGAUAGCUCUGUAUUGAGCCAUUUUAUUUUUUGUUCACGCUUUUUUUAUACUAAGUCACUGCUGCAUAUAGCACUGUCUUGGACGAGAACUUGUGUUCCAAAAUGUAUUGCUUUCGUAUGAUGGACAUGUAUAUGUAAAUAUCUAUGGUUUUUGCUAUUUGACGCACUGUGGCGGUGAACAAAUUGUACAUUUUUAUUCUGUGCUUGAGGUAUAUAUCUCACCAUGUCACACAACUUGUUGACGGCUGCCUUGUGUGUAUGUGUGAAGCGCUGAAAUAAACUGCUCAUUCCCUUUA